rnacentral:sRNA from 1 species
UCGUGUUACUAUUGAAAUGAACGGUCGUGACGUGGAAAAUAUUUUCAGUUUUUUUUUUCUAAACAACAACAACAAAAUAAAAAGCCUCUGAAAAGUUAGAACUUUACACAAUUCAACGUUUCCACAGCGUAAUGACAAUGAAGUGAAAACUGAAAGACUGCAUGCCAUCGUUUGGACAAUGCAAUGGAAAUUCUUGGCCGUAAAGGAUUAAAUAAAUAAUUCGCGUGUGUGUGUGUGUGUGUGUGCGCGUGGGAAUAAGUAAAGCAGGUGCUGCUGGAGAAUCUCGGUGCGAUUUAAUUUUGUGUAUUUAUUCAAAUUGUUUGCUUCCUCGAUAUGUACGAGCUGUGAGUAUUCUGUGCUACCGCGAGGAGGAAGCUCUCGUGUUUUCGUUGACUUCGUACGGCGGUUAAUGUUUUGUGUCAACUCGUUUUAAUGAAAAUCCAUUUGAGUAGAACACAACUGUGCAUGUGUUUUGUGUGUUGUUGUUUUUAUUGAAAUUGUUGAAAUCGGGAACACUUUGCAUCAGCAGAGAACACCUUUCCCGCAAAUGGAAAAUACAAAAUCGAAAGGAGAAAAGAUCUGCCAAAUAAAGUGCUCCAAACACACUACAAAUUGAUGUGGCCUACUCAACUGCCAGUUCAAAUGAGUAGAAAGAUAGCCGAAGCAGAUUCCAGCAAAGAAAAUUUCAUCCAGACCUGUUCAAACAAAAAUAAAUAAGCGGCAUUCAAAAUUAAUGAUGACGGUCAUUGGAGCUGUUUGAUGCACAAAGCGCGGAUGUCAAAGGUACAAAAAGCAGAGUAGAGCCAGCCAUAUUACCGGUCAGCCAGCUAGCCAGCCAGCAAGCACAGAGGGGAAAAAGAGAUUUCAAUUAACUGCAAAUAAAUGCCACAGCAAAUUUAAUUAUAGAAAAUCGGUAGAGUUGAGAAACCUGCCCCAAACGGCCAUAGUUGGCAGUCGCGUUGCGAAGCUGCCUCUAAGCCAAACAUAACUGAGAGAGCAAGAGCAGCAACAGCAAUAAAAUAUCAUAAUUAUUUUCCACAAUAAAUGGCAAAUAGAAACAUUGGCCAGAACAACGGCAGCGGCUGGAUUAUCAGUGACAGCCACCAACUCGCAACUAAACAAAAUUGAAUAGAAAAAAUCACCAACAGCAACUAGCAACGGCCGCAGCGACAUCAGCUGCAACCGCGAUAGCGUACUGCGACAUUAAUUUCAAUUAAAGCAAAUUAAAAAGCAUUCAUCUGCGCACAGCAAAAGCGAAUGCGUCAGGAUCGCUAAAAUUCAAUUAUGCAAAUAUUUAAUCACAUGUGACAGAAAAAGUUUUGCGAUUUAUCAUCCGAAUUUAGAGCGAGUGAGAGAGAGCGAUAGAGAAAAAAAAUUACUCACAAACAAACAAAGGAACGAAAAUUAGGUUUGUUUUUCCAAUGCAACCGAAGGAUUUAAAGCUGAAUAUUUAAGCAACGCCAACACCCCGCAAGCCAACGCGGCUUGUGUUUUUGGCAAAAACCUGGAGCAGAGACGAACUUCCAUGUCAAGAUACUCAUGUUAAACAUAUUCGAACAAAUUUAUCAUCAAAAUGGACUACACUAGUUUGGGCUGUUGUGCUCUGGCAUUCGUUUUAUACCUGAACACAUUAAACUCUGGAUUUGUAUACGAC